UCUCACAGAACCCAUCCAGUCGCCGCCACAUCUCGCGUAUCCCAUCUGAUCUCCCUCUAAUCACAAAACCCAUCCAGUCGCCGCCGCAUCUCGAUCUCCCUCUAAUCACAGCACCCAUCAGUCGCCGCAUCUCGAUCUCGGCCUCACUUGCAUCUCAUCAGGAUUUCGGAAGUGAAAUUGAAGCCUCAAUCAAGCAAGCCUCAAUCAAUUGUGAGUUGUGAAUUAUGACUAUAUGAGAUAGUUAGCAAAAACCUUAGAAGGAACCAAGAAAAACAGAACAGAUGGACGUGGUACUAUUAGCUUUGUUAUUUGUUUCAGCUGUACAAAUGAGUGGUGGCGCCUCAAGAUUGAGAAAAACAAGGAAUAUGGAAAGUUAAAGAAAAAGGAAAUUGCACCCGAUUUUGAAGACAAGUUGGAUAAGAUGUUCAUGGGUAUUUCAGCCACUGGUCAGCAUGCAUAUUCACCAUGAUACAAGAUGGGAAGGGUCUGCUCAUGAUACAAGAGUGUUUCUAUCGGUACUUCGAGAUCCCGAAAUGAAUUUUCCUAAACCUCCACCAGGAAAAUAUUAUGUUGUAGAUUCCGGAUACCCUCAAAUGAAUGGUUUUUUGGGACCUUACAAAGGUCCGAGACAACAUUUUCAACAAUACCGUAGGCAAGAACCAAGAAAUGAAAAAGAGAUAUUUAACCAAGCACACUCUUCUCUUAGAAGCGUUAUAGAACGCACAUUUGGAGUUUGGAAAAAAAAGUGGAAGAUUUUAAGGGACAUGCAAGGAAUAUGGAAAGUUAAAGAAAAAGGAAAUUGCACCCGAUUUUGAAGACAAGUUGGAUAAGAUGUUCAUGGGUAUUUCAGCCACUGGUCAGCAUGCAUAUUCACCAUGAUACAAGAUGGGAAGGGUCUGCUCAUGAUACAAGAGUGUUUCUAUUGGUACUUCGAGAUCCCGAAAUGAAUUUUCCUAAACCUCCACCAGGAAAAUAUUAUGUUGUAGAUUCCGGAUACCCUCAAAUGAAUGGUUUUUUGGGACCUUACAAAGGUCUGAGACAACAUUUUCAACAAUACCGUAGGCAAGAACCAAGAAAUGAAAAAGAGGUAUUUAACCAAGCACACUCUUCUCUUAGAAGCGUUAUAGAACGCACAUUUGGAGUUUGAAAAAAAAAGUGGAAGAUUUUAAGGGACAUGCAAGGUUAUUCAUUUGAUAAGCAAGUGAAGAUU